UUUGAUGUGGCCAUGCUGUGCUGCAAGUGCCCGAUCACGUCAGAUCUUGCAAAGUAAGCAGGGCUGGACCUGGUUAGUACUUGGAUGGGAGACCACCUUGGAAGACCAGGGGCCAUUAGAU
rnacentral:rRNA from 12 species